AUUGAACGCUGGCGGCAGGCCUAACACAUGCAAGUCGAACGAGUGGCGGACGGGUGAGUAAUGUCUGGGCAACUGCCUGAUGGAGGGGGAUCACUACUGGAAACGGUAGCUAAUACCGCAUACCCUCGGAUGUGCCCAGAUGGGAUUAGCUAGUAGGUGGGGUAAAGGCUCACCUAGGCGACGAUCCCUAGCUGGUCUGAGAGGAUAACCAGCCACACUGGAACGGAGACACGGCCCAGACUCCUACGGGAGGCAGCAGUGGGGAAUAUUGCACAAGGGGCGCAAGCCUGAUGAAGCCAUGCCGCGUGUAUGAAGAAGUCCUUCGGGUUGUAAAGUACUUUCAGCGGGGAGGCGUUACCCGCAGAAGAAGCACCGGCUAACUCCGUGCCAGCAGCCGCGGUAAUAC
rnacentral:rRNA from 1 species